rnacentral:lncRNA from 1 species
GAAGUGGUUACCUGGCAACAGAGAAAGUGUGCUGAAGGCGCAGCUCCUCCGUACUGGAGCGAGGCUUUGUGCAGAGGGUUUGCACUGAGGCUGAACGUGGAGGAAAACGGUGAACCACCAGCAUUCUCACCACCUAACACAUUUUAUAGCGAGUCUGCACUUUCUAGGAAAAUGAGUCAAAUAUACAAAAUGCCUCUUACUAAAGAUCUGUUUGUCUGCACCGUAUAUGGAGGUCAAGCCCAUCUGCCAUGCCGCCUCCUGGAAUGGGACCCUGCUGUUUAACUCAACUGAACUUUUCUCAGGACUAAGAGGCUGAUUCGAGAAGAUAUGAGAUAACAUAUUUAAAUUUGUUCUUUUCUGCUUAUCCUAACUUGUUUUUCUCCUCCUUUGCCUGCCUCCUAAAUAGCAACCUUUAACUCACAUCUUUCCAAAGUUAUCAACCUUGCCUUUAAUAAGUGAAACUUUCUUAAAGAAAAACUUCCAAAGGGGAACAGAAGGAAACUAAAAUAUUUCCUCUCCAAAUAUAUUAUCUUGACAUAUUUCAAGAAAACUAUUCAGAAAAGCUGGAAAUUCAAGAAUAGCUGAAAAGCUGCCUUUUGUGGGGGGAGAUUCGCAUCAGUAGAGAAAACCUGCAUUGAUGCAGCCAGGCCCUCUCUGAGACCUUCCUUUGUCUGGAUGUAGGAAAGAUUAACUGAGAGUCUGACACCUUUAAAAGUCUGAAAGAAACAUUCAUCUUGUGUUCUUGGUGUGGGCUGAGCCCUGCAAGGUUUCAUCUGCAUAGAAAGACCAGCUUUGCAAGCCCGGGCUCCUCUUCUCCCCCUCCCAUAAGCUGUCUUGCCACCGUAUCCUAUUUUGCCAUGAUAAAAGCCCCAAUUCUUUCUGUAACCUCAAGAUGGAAUAUGUAAGAUUCGCUACCCCACUGGGGGUUGAGGUAAUCACUCUAUGGUUCUCUGUGCUCAUUAAUAAAUUUGUAUGCCAUUUCCCC